GAAAGUAAGCAAGGGCAGACGGUGGAUGCCUUGGCUCUCGGAGGCGACGAAGGACGUGAUAAGCUGCGAAAAGCCCGGGGGAGGCGCAAAUAGCCGUUGAUCCCGGGAUAUCCGAAUGGGGCAACCCGGCAGGCUGAAGGCCUGUCAUCCCGAAAGGGAGGCGAACGUGGGGAACUGAAACAUCUAAGUACCCAUAGGAGGAGAAAAUAAACAAUGAUUCCGUAAGUAGUGGCGAGCGAACACGGAAGAGCCCAAACCCAUGUCGUCUAGGCGACACGGGGGUUGUAGGACCACGACGUGGCAAGAAGGAAGGGAAAUGGAACGCCUUGGAAAAGUCGGCCAUAGACGGUGAAAGCCCGGUACAUGACUCCCUUACGAAGCCUAGUGGUAUCCUGAGUAGCGCGGGGCACGAGAAAUCUUGCGUGAAGCAGCGGGGCCCAUCCCGUAAGGCUAAAUACUCCCGAGAGACCGAUAGCGAACCAGUACCGUGAGGGAAAGGUGAAAAGAACCCCGAGCAGGGGAGUGAAAUAGACCCUGAACCCGUCUGCCUACAAGCGGUCGGAGCGUCGUAAUGACGUGACGGCGUGCCUUUUGCAUAAUGAACCUACGAGUUACCUUCCCCGGCAAGGUUAAGUACCUAAGGUACGGAGCCGAAGCGAAAGCGAGUCUGAACAGGGCGCCAAGUCGGGGGGGGUAGACGCGAAACCGAGUGAUCUACCCUUGGCCAGGUUGAAGGUUGGGUAACACCAACUGGAGGACCGGAUGGGUAAGCGUUGAAAAGCUUUCCAAUGAGCUGAGGGUAGGGGUGAAAGGCUAAUCAAACUCGGAGAUAGCUCGUACUCCCCGAAAUGCAUUUAGGUGCAGCCUCUUUAUAGUAUAUCGUGAGGUAGAGCGACUGAUUGGAUGCGAGGGCUUCACCGCCUAUCAAGUCCAGAUAAACUCCGAAUGCGCGAUAUAUAUUUACAGGGAGUGAGGGCGCGGGUGCUAAGGUCCGUGUCCGAGAGGAGAAGAAUCCAGACCACCGGCUAAGGCCCCCAAAUGAUCGUUAAGUUGAACUAACGAGGUCGGAUCGCAGAGACAGCUAGGAUGUUGGCUUGGAAGCAGCCAUUCAUUUAAAGAGUGCGUAACAGCUCACUAGUCGAGCGAUCUGGCGUGGAUAAUAAUCGGGCAUAAACGAUCUGCCGAAGCCGUGGAUGUCGCAAGACAUGGUAGGGGAGCAUUCCAUGCCGCGUCGAAGAUGAGGGAUGACCCUUGUUGGAGCGCAUGGAAAAGCAAAUGUAGGUAUGAGUAACGAUAAGGGGGGCGAGAAACCCCCCCGCCGAAAGACCAAGGUUUCCUGAUCAACGCUAAUCGGAUCAGGGUGAGUCGGGACCUAAGGCAAAGCCGAACGGCGCCGCCGAUGGAAGAAUGGGUUAAUAUUCCCAUACUGCCUCAUGGAGUGACGUGGAGACGGAGAAGUGACAGUCCUGCCGGCUGACGGAAUAGCCGGUUGAAGGGUGUAGAUAUUGAUUCCCGUAGGCAAAUCCGCGGGGAGAGUCGAACCUGAGAGUAUACGGAGCGCUUGCGCAACGUAAUAUGGACGUAACCAUGCUCCCGAGAAAAUCCGCUAAACUUAUCCAUGCGGCACCCGUACCGUAAACGGACACACGUGGUCGGGUUGAGAAUACUGAGGCGCUCGAGUGAUUCACGGUUAAGGAACUAGGCAAAUUGACCCUGUAACUUCGGGAUAAAGGGUCCUCGUCGUAAGGCGAGGCGCAGAGAAUAGGUCCAGGCAACUGUUUAACAAAAACACAUGGCUGUGCUAAAUGGAAACAUGAUGUAUACAGCCUGACACCUGCCCGGUGCCGGAAGGUUAAGAGGAGAUGUCAUCCGCGAGGAGAAGCGUUGAAUUGAAGCCCCGGUAAACGGCGGCCGUAACUAUAACGGUCCUAAGGUAGCGAAAUUCCUUGUCGGGUAAGUUCCG
rnacentral:rRNA from 1 species